GAUGAACGCUGGCGGCGUGCUUAACACAUGCAAGUCGAACGAAGCACUUUACCUGAUUUCCUUCGGGGAUGAUUGUUCUGUGACUGAGUGGCGGACGGGUGAGUAACGCGUGGAUAACCUGCCUCACACAGGGGGAUAACAGUUGGAAACGACUGCUAAUACCGCAUAAGCGCACAGUACCGCAUGGUACAGUGUGAAAAACUCCGGUGGCGUGAGAUGGAUCCGCGUCUGAUUAGCUUGUUGGCGGGGUAACGGCCCACCAAGGCGACGAUCAGUAGCCGGCCUGAGAGGGCGACCGGCCACAUUGGGACUGAGACACGGCCCAGACCCCUACGGGAGGCAGCAGUGGGGAAUAUUGCACAAUGGGGGAAACCCUGAUGCAGCGACGCCGCGUGAGCGAUGAAGUAUUUCGGUAUGUAAAGCUCUAUCAGCAGGGAAGAUAAUGACGGUACCUGACUAAGAAGCUCCGGCUAAAUACGUGCCAGCCGCCGCCGUAA
rnacentral:rRNA from 1 species